rnacentral:misc_RNA from 1 species
CGGANGCCGGCCCCCCAGGAUAGGGCCAACGUCCGUCAGGGGUGAGCAGAUGUGCGCCGGCCGUACCGCCCCAUUCUUGUCUACCUUACUCGGUUGCCUCGGCGGGCCGCGCUCUCCCAGGAGAGCCGUUCGGCGAGCCUCUCUUUAUAGCGGCUCAACGCUGGACCGCGCCCGCCGGAGGACAGACGCAAAAAAAAAUUCUUUCAGAAGAGCUGUCAGUCUGAGCGUUAGCAAGCAAAAAUCAGUUAAAACUUUCAACAACGGAUCUCUUGGUUCCGGCAUCGAUGAAGAACGCAGCGAAAUGCGAUAAGUAAUGUGAAUUGCAGAAUUCCGUGAAUCAUCGAAUCUUUGAACGCACAUUGCGCCCCCUGGCAUUCCGACCGCGCCCCGAAAAAGCGAUGGGCCCAGGCCCCCCUAUUUCCCGGCUUUU